AAACACACUUCAGAUGUCGUU
ensembl:piRNA 21ur-2271 ncRNA